GAAGAAUGAAGAGGCUAUUUAUAUACUCAUCUCAUUAAAAAUAAAAGCAAACACAACAGUGUGUACCUAUGCAACUAUCUUGCAUGUUCUGCACAUGUACCCCAAAACCUAAAAUGCAAUAAAAAAAAAAGUGUGGGUAGUGGUGGUGGGGAACAGUGCAGACAUUUCUGUUGUAACAUAUAUAUAUAUAUAUAUUGCUGAAAAAUCUUGCAUUCCUUAAAAAUUUCAUGUUCUAAACAACAGACUUAUGAGAGAGUUACGGUUGAAUCACAUUGUUGAAAAUCAGUGCUGUGAAGAGCACUAACAAAAGCAAAAAAGCAGUCAAUACAAAUAUGAGUACAAUGAGAAAGAAGUGAAAUUCUUAUAAAUGUAGAAACACUGUAGUAAAAAGGAAAAAAUAAACCUUUUUGCUUUUAGAAAUGAGGUGAAGUUAGCUUGAGGAAAGCGCUGUAAGCAAGAGUGAAGUCAGCUGCGUCAUGGACACAAGCGCAAAAUGCGCACAGAUGAGCGAUGGAAAAGCACCUCCAAGACAGAGGACUGAUCCAGGAGAAAGGAGAGGGGAGUGGGCAUCACGUACGGCUAGAGCGCGCCACCUGCCGCUUUUGCAAGCAACUGUGAUCACAAUUUGUCUUCGAAGAGAUUCAUGGAAAAGACUCCAGCAAGUACAGUUUUCUAAUAACUUUGAGAUCACACCAUCGGCCUGGAAAUGCCUCUUAUUAACUACCUGAUCAUUUACAAUAUGAAGGCUCAACUUGGAUCAGAGCCCACCUGCAACACUGCCUCCUAAAAUCAGAUGCGACUGUUUAACUGAACUGAAUUAUUCUCAGGACUAAAAGGCUGUGUCAAGAUAUGGGGAAUCUUUGUUCUUCUGCAGGUUCCAAUCUGGGUUUUUCUUCCCCUUCGCUGAUCUCUUGUCUCACAACUUCCAACCCAAAUCUGCUCAUAGCUACUAACUUGAGUUUCAACAUAUGAAACUUUCUAAAAGUAAAGUUUCAAAUGGAGAAUGACAAGGCUCAGGAUACAAUACCCCAAAGCAUGUCACUCAGAACACAUCAUUCCAAAUACACCACUUUGGCAUCAGAAUUAUUUUAAACUAAAGGCACAUAAAAACAGGAGGUGCAAGAGGAUUACUCUGACCUUCACUGUUCUUUAAAAGCCAGUGAUGAAACUCCCAUGUGAAAGAUGUACUAAACCAAGAAGAAGUAACAUUCUUAUCACCAAGGACAGGAAGUUAAGGCUGAUAGGAAGCUGUCCAAGGCUCCCUUACCUUCCUCAUCACUUCUCCACCCAAUUAUCUACCCUAGCACAAGCCCCUUUGCCUUGUUGCAUUUUCACAAUUCAGGGCAUAAAUGUUUGACUCCACCUGCUUCUUUAUGUCUUCAUUUCCUUAUGAAGUCUCUCCUGCCAUAUACAACUUUCAUUAAAUACUUCAUAUGGUUUUCUCCUUUUGUCUUAUGUCUGUUUAAUUCUCCAGGCCCAGGCAAAAAACAAACAAGAAAACAAAACAAAAGCAAAAAAUCUUCCAAACACCACCACAAAACCUCAAGAGAGGAGUGGUAAAUUUCUGCCUCCUCUUCUGUACUUUUGACAUGCUCUAUCCUGUUUUUGCUUCUUUACUUGCCGGCACUAUACGGUAUUCCAG
rnacentral:lncRNA from 13 species